AAAAAUGUCUCUUGCUGUUUGACAGAGUUUGAUUGAAGGAAUGCAGCUGAAAUUGAAACCAAAAGAGGCAUUAUGCUUCCAGAAAAAAAAAAAAAAUCUCGUGGUAAUGUACUGCAAGCAACAUAUCGAGAGCUAAAGGACAGGGUGGAAAGAUUCAAACAGUUUCUGUGAAAGUUGGGGACUAAGUUCUCUAAGAAUAUUGUAGCACCAAAGUAGUUCUACAUCACAAGGAUUAAUACUUCGUAUCUCAAAAAUAGAGAGU
rnacentral:lncRNA from 1 species